AGAGUUUGAUCCUGGCUCAGGACGAACGCUGGCGGCGUGCUUAACACAUGCAAGUCGAACGGUGAAGUCCCUUCGGGGGCGGAUCAGUGGCGAACGGGUGAGUAACACGUGGGCAAUCUGCCCCUCACUGUGGGAUAACUCCGGGAAACCGGGGCUAAUACCGCAUAUGAAGCCUGGCGGCAUCGCCGGGUUUGGAAAGUUUUUCGGUGAGGGAUGAGCCCGCGGCCUAUCAGCUUGUUGGUGAGGUAAUGGCUCACCAAGGCGACGACGGGUAGCCGGCCUGAGAGGGCGACCGGCCACACUGGGACUGAGACACGGCCCAGACUCCUACGGGAGGCAGCAGUGGGGAAUAUUGGG
rnacentral:rRNA from 1 species